AGUUGCUGGAAGUUUUAGAAGGAGCUAGAGGAUAAGAUUCCCUUCAAACCAAAUCUAUCAGCCCCUGUGACUCUUCCCACCUGAGGUACCAGAGGCAUGGAGCUACGGGGACAGCUCUUCAGCUGCUUGUUCUGUACCAUACUCCUAUCAGUGAUUCCCUGUUCAGGACAGAAAUAUCAGGGCUGGACUGCGCUGUUGAAGAAUGGAUUCACCACUGGGCAUGUGUCUUUAGAGCUGAAAAAUGUCCACCCAGCUGAAAGACUUCAAAAUGCAGCUGUACAUUCCCCUAACGAGUGGAGCACUGAAGUUGCAACCAAGCUUCAAAUUGCAGAAUUUAAAAAUGGUGAAACACUGAGCGAGAAAGGAAAGAAGACAGUAAGAUUUUCCCUCCCUGAAACCCC